rnacentral:rRNA from 1 species
UGAGGAAUAUUGGGCAAUGCCCGAAAGGGUGACCCAGCAACGCCGCGUGGAGGAUGAAGGUCGUAAGAUUGUAAACUCCUGUUAGAGGGGAAGAAUAACUAAGUUUGGAGCUUAGUAUGACUGUACCCUCAGAGAAAGCCCCGGCUAACUACGUGCCAGCAGCCGCGGUAAUACGUAGGGGCAAGCGUUGUCCGGAUUUACUGGGUGUAAAGGGCGCGCAGGCGGAAUGGAAAGUCAGUGGUGAAAUCCUACAGCUUAACUGUAGAACUGCCUUUGAUACUUUCAUUCUUGAGUUCGGGAGAGAGAGACGGAAUUCCAGGUGUAGUGGUGAAAUACGUAGAUAUCUGGAAGAACACCAGUUGCGAAGGCGGUCUCUUGGUCCGAUACUGACGCUGAGGCGCGAAAGCGUGGGGAGCAAACA